UUAAGUCUAUGAUUAAGGUUCGGUGAGAGCACGAUUGAGUUGCAAGGGUAAUUACGUCAAUUACAACCGACAGUUCAUAUUUAGUUAUUUACUACAAUCAGAUUUAAUGAAUCACUGCAUAACCUUUUUACUUACCGUACAGCUGAAGUCACUUAUGUUUCGUUAGAUUGUUUGUCUUUUUCAUUCAGUGUGAUUGUAUGGUAUCAAUAGACUAAAUAUUUACUCCAAAAAUAAAUUUACUCUAAAUUCAGCUAAAUAUUUACCAGUCAGGUGAAAAACUUACUUUCACUUUUUCGGCCACUUACUGUAGAAAUA
rnacentral:lncRNA from 1 species